AUCAACGCUGGCGGCGUGCCUCAGACAUGCAAGUCGAACGAUUAAAGCUCUCUUCGGAGAGUGUAUAGAGUGGCGCACGGGUGAGUAACACGUAAGUAAUCUACCCUCGAGUGGGGAAUAACGUCCGGAAACGGACGCUAAUACCGCAUAAUGCAGCGGCACCGCAAGGUGACAGUUGUUAAAGGAGAAAUUCGCUUGAGGAGGAGCUUGCGGCAGAUUAGCUGUUGGUAAGGUAACGGCUUACCAAGGCUACGAUCUGUAACCGGUCUUAGAGGACGGUCGGUCACACUGACACUGAAUAACGGGUCAGACUCCUACGGGAGGCAGCAGUCGGGAAUUUUGGGCAAUGGGCGAAAGCCUGACCCAGCAACGCCGCGUGAAGGAUGAAGUAUUUCGGUAUGUAAACUUCGAAAGAAUAAGGAAGAAUAAAUGACGGUACUAUUUAUAAGGUCCGGCUAACUACGUGCCAGCCGCCGCAGU
rnacentral:rRNA from 1 species